rnacentral:rRNA from 2 species
UAAAGGCCCACCAAGCCGAUAACGGGUGCGGGCUCUGGAAGGAGGAGCCCGGAGAUGGGCACUGAGACAAGGGCCCAGGUCCUACGGGGCGCAGCAGGUGCGAAACCUCCACAAUGCGGGAAACCGCGAUGGGGUUACCCCGAGUGUCGCCCGCUGAGGGCGACUUUUCUGGGGUCUAAAAAGCCCCAGGAAUAAGGGGAGGGCAAGUCUGGUGUCAGCCGCCGCGGUAAUACCAGCUCCCCGAGUGGUCGGGACGUUUAUUGGGCCUAAAGCGCCCGUAGCCGGCCCGGUGUGUCUCCCGUCAAAUCCGCCGGCUCAACCGGCGGACCGCGGGGGAUACUAUCGGGCUAGGGGGCGGGAGAGGUCGGGGGUACUCCCGGGGUAGGGGUAAAAUCCUUUGAUCCCGGGAAGACCACCGGUGGCGAAGGCGUCCGGCCAGAACGCGCCCGACGGUGAGGGGCGAAAGCUGGGGGAGCGAACCGGAUUAGAUACCCGGGUAGUCCCAGCUGUAAACGAUGCGGGCUAGGUGCUGGAGGGGCUACGGGCCCCUCCAGUGCCGCAGGGAAGCCGUUAAGCCCGCCGCCUGGGGAGUACGGCCGCAAGGCUGAAACUUAAAGGAAUUGGCGGGGGGGCACACAAGGGGUGAAGCCUGCGGUUCAAUGGAGUCAACGCCGG